rnacentral:rRNA from 1 species
AUGAACGCUAGCUACAGGCUUAACACAUGCAAGUCGAGGGGCAGCAUGGUCUUAGCUUGCUAAGACUGAUGGCGACCGGCGCACGGGUGAGUAACACGUAUCCAACCUGCCGUCUACUCUUGGACAGCCUUCUGAAAGGAAGAUUAAUACAAGAUGGCAUCAUGAGUCCGCAUGUUCACAUGAUUAAAGGUAUUCCGGUAGACGAUGGGGAUGCGUUCCAUUAGAUAGUAGGCGGGGUAACGGCCCACCUAGUCUUCGAUGGAUAGGGGUUCUGAGAGGAAGGUCCCCCACAUUGGAACUGAGACACGGUCCAAACUCCUACGGGAGGCAGCAGUGAGGAAUAUUGGUCAAUGGGCGAGAGCCUGAACCAGCCAAGUAGCGUGAAGGAUGACUGCCCUAUGGGUUGUAAACUUCUUUUAUAAAGGAAUAAAGUCGGGUAUGCAUACCCGUUUGCAUGUACUUUAUGAAUAAGGAUCGGCUAACUCCGUGCCAGCAGCCGCGGUAAUACGGAGGAUCCGAGCGUUAUCCGGAUUUAUUGGGUUUAAAGGGAGCGUAGAUGGAUGUUUAAGUCAGUUGUGAAAGUUUGCGGCUCAACCGUAAAAUUGCAGUUGAUACUGGAUAUCUUGAGUGCAGUUGAGGCAGGCGGAAUUCGUGGUGUAGCGGUGAAAUGCUUAGAUAUCACGAAGAACUCCGAUUGCGAAGGCAGCCUGCUAAGCUGCAACUGACAUUGAGGCUCGAAAGUGUGGGUAUCAAACAGGAUUAGAUACCCUGGUAGUCCACACGGUAAACGAUGAAUACUCGCUGUUUGCGAUAUACAGCAAGCGGCCAAGCGAAAGCGUUAAGUAUUCCACCUGGGGAGUACGCCGGCAACGGUGAAACUCAAAGGAAUUGACGGGGGCCCGCACAAGCGGAGGAACAUGUGGUUUAAUUCGAUGAUACGCGAGGAACCUUACCCGGGCUUAAAUUGCAGAUGAAUUACGGUGAAAGCCGUAAGCCGCAAGGCAUCUGUGAAGGUGCUGCAUGGUUGUCGUCAGCUCGUGUCGUGAGAUGUUGGGUUAAGUCCCGCAACGAGCGCAACCCUUACUGUCAGUUACUACGCAAGAGGACUCUGGCAGGACUGCCGUUGACAAAACGGAGGAAGGUGGGGAUGACGUCAAAUCAGCACGGCCCUUACGUCCGGGGCUACACACGUGUUACAAUGGGGGGUACAGAGGGCCGCUACCACGCGAGUGGAUGCCAAUCCCCAAAACCUCUCUCAGUUCGGACUGGAGUCUGCAACCCGACUCCACGAAGCUGGAUUCGCUAGUAAUCGCGCAUCAGCCACGGCGCGGUGAAUACGUUCCCGGGCCUUGUACACACCGCCCGUCAAGCCAUGGGAGCCGGGGGUACCUGAAGUGCGUAACCGCGAGGAGCGCCCUAGGGUAAAACUGGUGACUGGGGCU